GUCACCAUAGGCAUAUUAAGAUAUUAGCUUAGGUAAAUAUUGUUUCGUAUUGAUUCUAAUUUUUAUUUCCUCUUUCUCAUGAACACUCUCUUAUUCGAGUUCAUUUGGACUCCCCAUCUCUUACAUAUUCCUCUUAUUGAGUCAACCUCCAUUGGAAUCGUGAAAGGGAAGAUAGUAUUGUUUGGUUAAAAUCCAAACCGAAGGCAGCAGCUCAGUAGAGAAAUAAUAAUGGUCCUAAAGGGCUGAAGUCCGAGUUUUUGGACUUAAAAUUUCAAUAAAAUGACCAGCAGUAGCAGCUGCCUCUAAAAGGCAGAAAAACGAGGAGCAAAAUUGGGUAAAAAUCCUAAAAAACAGCAGCAACAGUAGCCUCAAAGGGCUGAAAAACGGAGCAGCAGGAGCAGCCUUAAAAAGGCUGAAAAUUGAGAAUUUUUGGACCUUCGAAAGUCCAAUUUAAACAGCGACAGCAACAUCAACCAGAAGGAUUGGGACUUGGGCUGAAAUAAAUUUCAGUAGCUUCUUUACUUUCCUUAUUCCCUUAAUUUGCCUUGUCAUUGCUAUAUUUUCUUUAUUAUAUUUGAUUGGGAAAGCUAACAACUUUAAGAUCCUUUUUCCUUAACCUAGAUGAAUCGUUGGAAGGAUUUUUAUUUCAUAUUAUGUUGUUUGUUUGCUUUAAAAUUUUCAAAUUCCCAAAAUCCAUUUUUAGUUAGGUAAUUUAAGCUUAUAGAAUGACUUAAGAACCUCUCAUGUUCUUUCAUAGUUAUUUAAAAGCUUUGAAUCCAUUUUUAUAAGUUUGAACUAAACUAUUUAGUUCAAAUUUUUGAAUAGGAUAAAAUUGUUAAGUUUUUUUUUAGAAUAAACUAGUUGUCUUUUAAUUUAAAUUAGGACUUUGUAUGAAUGACUUAUGGAUCUUCAAUAUCCUUUCAUAGUUGUUAAACAAGUCCUUUAAUCUAUGUUUGUGAGUUUGAAUUAAUCGUAUGAUUCAAAACAUGACUAUGGAUAAAACUUUCAAAUUAGGAUUAUAUUUCAGAUUUCCAUGAGCAUCAAAAGAUUUUUUUUAUUUAAGUUUCAAACAAGAUUUUUUAUAAGUAAUUCAUUUAUUUUAUAAAAAUUAGCCAAAUUUUUAAAUCCGUCCGCGUGGUAGCGGAUUCUCUAAGAUGCCUAAACCCUUCCUUAGAGAAUUAUUUGAACCCUUACCUGAUUCUGGUUUUAUUUAAAAUAUUUCCUUUCAAAAAUUCCUUUUAAAAUGUUUUUUUUAAUUUUUCCUAAAAAUUAAGUGGCGACUUCCAAAUUAUAAUUUUUUCCAAAACUUAUCCAAAAUUGCAAAAGUUGCGAAAUUGGUUUCGAAAUCUUAGUUUUCAAGAUCGGAUUGUAACAGAAUGACGACUCUGCUAGAGAAUUCAGAUAGGUUCUAACCAAAAAUAUUUUAUUGUUUGGCUAACUGUUAACUGAUGGUUGUCGGUUAGAGAAACUCCUACAACAGUAAUUGCAUGGUUCCUCAAGGGGUUCUGCUUAGUAUGGAUGGGGGGUAUGGGACUUCAUUCAUGCACUGCACAAGUAGACUUUGAGAGGGAUCAUGAUAUGUCUUUUAUGAUUAUGAGUUGACAACAUGCUUUAAACAAUUUUCUUUUUCCUUUAUAUUGCAUUUGUUUUAAACUGUUUUAUAAUUAAAUGAGUUCAGUUAAGUAUUCAUGAGUUGAGUAAAGCCAAGGUAAAUGUUUCUUUUAGAUCCUUUUCAAACCUAUGUUAUGUUUAGCAUUUCAACUCAUAUACUCAUACAUUCGAUGUACUGAUGCCAGUUGACCUGCAUCGUCUUAUGAUGCGCAUACUCGUCCAUUCAAUGUAAUGAUGCCAGUUGGCUUGCAUCGUAUUAUGAUGCAGACACAGGUAACUAGGAUUGUAUUUCGGCACAUCGCUGAUCCUGUGAGCAGUUCAGAGUCUGUUGGUGAGCCUCCUUGCAUUUCGGAUGAUCUAUUUUUCAUUACUUUCUAGUUAGUUCAUUAGGAUGUUGGGACAGUUGUUUUAGAUGCUUCAUAGAUAGUCAGUCAGAUGUUAGUUCAUUCGUCAUCAUUUUGUUAUUGACUUAUGUUCAGAUUUGAGUUGCCAUUUUGGCUAAGUUAAAUGUUAUUUUCAAAAUAUUAUGAGUUCAAUUUGAGACAAUUAAGUUGUUUAGCAUUUGGAUUCCUUUCUUAUUGCAUAUAGUCUUCCGCUGAAUAAGUAAGCCAGGCCAAGGGUUCGCUUGGGGCCAGCAAUGGUUCUCGAGUGCCGGCACGUCCAGGGUGUAGGCUCGGGCGUGACGACAACCAAGUUUUGGGGUAUAUAAUUAUAAAUUUCUGCAUUAUUUUAUAGUAUUAAACUUUUAUUCUCGUUUUACUUCUGCAUCCACCGUAUUAGUUAUUUUUAGACUGACUUAUCUUGGUGGAAUAAGACGAGUGUCAUCACGUCCAUUUUCCAUGCUCACAAUCAUCAACAACUUAGAGUAUACAAACAAAAUUACAUAUGAUCGACAAUCUCAUAUUGUUCCUAAUUAAAUAGGUUACAAGCUAGAAUGAACCAUAAUAAAUAACAUGUAAACAUUAUCCAAUAUGCUUUAAGCUCUUAUUAAAAUUUAAUAUCUGGCCGACACUUUUGUCAUACAACGAUUGAGAUGGAGCUCACUAUUCCCUUAUCGUUUAAUUGUUAGUAAACUCUCUUUAUAAUAGUAAACCCCACAACCACCACCCUUUGGAUGUGACUUCAGGCUCGGAUGACGAAAUUCAAGAAGCAUUGUCUUGUUUGUUCUAACAUUAUACGUGACCAGCCGAAAACUUUUAGUUACCAAAAUCACAGAGAUGUCAUAUCUACAUGACUUAAUAGGUGUAGUGCAAUGAAAGGUCACAAGUUUGUUCCAAAGGUCGGGUUGUAUCAUUACCCAUACAUCAAAAACAAACUUGUCGACUGAGUUCAAGAUGGCAAUGGAGUCACCAAGUGAGGUCAGAUUCACACUCCAACUAUAGACGUCCUAACCAUCUAGUGAUCAUUCCAUCUUUACAAACACCUCAUUCCUAAAGUCAUAUGAAAGAAUUCUAAAUUUAGGAGUCUCCGUUAACAACCAAUAAUAAGAUCCAUUAAAAUAAUUAGUAGUGAUAAAUAAGCUUUCUUGAUAAUCAGUUUCGUCUAGGUUAUGUUUGAAUAUUUUCCAUGAAUCCCUAGAACAUGAGUAGAAUACAGAUCAAUUAACUAGUAUAGUACUAACAUGACUUUAUUCAAAUAUUAUUCUUUUGGCAAAUUGCUCAUAUUUCUACUUAUAUAUUUCCUUCUCUUUAGAGCUAUUCUUUUUUCUUUCGAUCUACAUGACUAAAAUGUAGAAUACAACUAAGUAUUAAUAAAAUUAAUAAGACUAAUGUCGUACAAAAUCUAUUAUACUAGUAUAAAUAGCAAUUACCAUUAAGUUAAAGUACUACAAUUUAAAAUGGCAAACUUUUCGUUCAUUUAUUAAUUUUUUUCUGUGUGUUCUUGAAUGGAAAUAUCGAGAUUGUAUUGGUAUGGACACCAAUGAUGGUGGCGAUUUUCUCAAAGAUUCAAUCAGGGAAGGUUUACUCAGAUCGUCUGUAAAGUUAUUGUUGAGGUUCAAAUCCAUCUAUAAAAAUUGGUACACUCUUAUCAAAAACUCUAGUUUUAUCCGUGAUCGAACAUUAAGAACAAUCCCCCAAACUCUUUAAUUAUGACUAUGCUGCACCCGAUGAUUUGCCUCCCAUCACUUUCAUUUCCGAUAAUGGUAUAGAUUUCGUUACACAUGAAGUAAAUCAAAGAGAACUUGGGUUUGUCAUGAUUCGGCUUGAUAAAUUCUUCAAACGAAACCAAUUGUUCAAGAAUCAUGAGAUUCAAAGAAUGCUUAAUAUUUUGGAAAAAUUCACCAAUUCGAUUCAAAAAUUAAACAAUGAGCAACAUUUAGCUACCUCUGCGAUGUAGACAAAAAAUUUAAAAAAGGUUUCUCUUUAUAUUUUGGGUCUACUACUAUAGUUUCCCACUUAAUAUGAAGUGGUAUACAAAAUAUUUAUAUUCUUCGAAAAAAAAAUAUGUAAGUCGUCAUUUACCUUUUUCAAUCUCAAAUAUGUACAAUAAAAGAGUAUUUACUAUUCAAUCAUAAUGCUUUCUGAUAUUCUUUUUCUAUGAAAUUUGUGCAAACGUUAUUGAAUUUUCAAAAUUCCACCUACUAUUUUAUAUUCGCUCUACUCUUAACUGUGUGGAACAUAUUAAACCCUUCUAGGAUGUAAUUUUAAUAUGCUUUUUAUACUAAGAAUUUCACCCGUGUAAUUAAGAGUAAAAUAAGAAUUUUAAAAUUAUAUAAUUAUUAAGUGUCAUAAAUAAACACUAUGAUAAAUUUGAUUCUUUUUUCCACUAGUCCAGCAACCGGUCUACGAUAAAUGAUCUUUUUCAGUGAAAAUAAAGAAUCUAGACAAUGUUGAAGUAAUAAAGUAAGAAAAAAAAUACGAUUAAGACUUUGGUUAAUUCUCAAUUUUCUUACUUCCAACAAAUUAAAGAUUGAUGUCUUUGUCUGAGCAAUUUUUAAGGUAGGUAAUGAAUCAAAUUAAUACAAGUAUUAAGCUGUAGUUUGGCCUCGUAACACUUUAGAAAUAAAAUUUUUUUUAGACAAGGUGAAUUAGUUAGAUUACAAUUUAUAUUUUAAUAGUAAGAAACCGAUUAAAAAUUUCUUUACCAAAAAUUCAAAUCAAGAGAGGUAAUCGUAAUGUUUUAAAUCACAAGAGAAGUUGGUAUUACUAACUCAAAUUUGAGAGGUACUCUCUGAAAUUAUUCCGAUUCGCAUUUCCUAAUUAUUCUCAAAACUUAAUUUGCGGAAUACUCAAAUGAAAACUUGUUUGAUUGAAUCAUUUAUUACUCAAAUGGUUUGGAUUUGUUUUUACCUAAAUUUUGAUGUAAAUACUAAAGUGUUUGUGCCUAAUACAUUUUUAUUUAACACUAAAAACACAAUCAAAUAAUGCAUGCUUAAGAUUGUUAAUGUGAAAACUAAUAUUUAUCUAUAGGUACUAGCAUUAGCUUUGACUAAUACUAACUUGUAAUGAACAAAAAAAAUA
rnacentral:lncRNA from 1 species